GGAGACUCUACCUACUCCAUAUAACUUGAAAAGACAUCAAACAAACACAUAGAUGGGGCACCUGAAGAUUAUUCUCGGAAUCAUUGGAAAAAGGUGUAACAAAACAAGCACACAACAAUUGCAGAAACGUCUUCUCAGAUGGGAGUCUAAUGUUUGCCUCAAGAUGGCGGAGGAGCUGCUUAUCAGAACGAAAGAUUGACACCAUGAGGAACAGUGACAUCAUUUCAGGUUCCAGUAACAUGAACCCGCUUC